UUUUUGAAAAGAAAUUAUUCUAUGUGCCAAAAUAAAAUUUUUCUCAUUUUGUAUUUGCACCCAAACCUAAUCAAAAUUCUAAUAUCUUUCCCUCCCUUUUUAAAAAAAAUAAAGAAAUAAAAUACCAGUAAAGAUAAAGUUUCCCCCAAAAAUUAAAAGCCAACUUAAUAAACCACUCCUUCCUUCCCACGUACAAGCACCCAAAUCCCACAUCUCUUUUCCCCUAGUUCCUCUCCCUUGUUUCUAACAUUCCAUGCCAUAUCUUUUCUUUUUAAAAAAAAAAAAAAAAAUUCUUUUUAUGCCUACACAUGGAGGAUGAGCAUCACCCAUCCUUACCUCAUAUAUUGAUACACUUUAAUUAUUUAUUAAUGUGAUUUUUGAUAAUUAAUUUUAUCUUUUGCAGGUUUAAUAAGGCAGGAUGGAUGUUGAAUAGUUUUCUGAAUAUAAAGAAACUCCUAGUUCAUUGUUGACAGUAACAAUGGAGAUGUUCAUCACAGUAACAAGGAACGAGACAAUAAGAAGUUCAUCUCACACAAGGAAAUGGAGCAGGCCAAAGCAAAUAAAAGGAUUGAGCCCAUAUUAGGCCAGUCAUCAGUACCAACAACCCACAAGUCCAAAUAUUUAGCUUAGACUAGAAAGUUCUUUUAUUUUAGCUUAGAAGAGAAGUUUCUUAUUUUAUUUUUAUUUUCAUUGUUUAGCUUAGAAGAGAAGAUUCUUUAACUUGUAUAAAUAAACAUGAUUGGCAAGAAAUAUACAGACAAGAAAAAUUCUCAAA